GAUGAACGCUAGCGAUAGGCUUAACACAUGCAAGUCGAGGGGCAGCAUGGUCUUAGCUUGCUAAGACUGAUGGCGACCGGCGCACGGGUGCGUAACGCGUAUGCAACUUGCCUCACAGAGGGGGAUAACCCGUCGAAAGACGGACUAAUACCGCGUACACUCUAUUUUGGGCAUCCAAGGUAGAGGAAAUGAAAUUCGCUGUGAGAUAGGCAUGCGUCCCAUUAGCUAGUUGGUGAGGUAACGGCUCACCAAGGCGACGAUGGGUAGGGGAACUGAGAGGUUGAACCCCCACACUGGUACUGAGACACGGACCAGACUCCUACGGGAGGCAGCAGUGAGGAAUAUUGGGCAAUGGGCGAGAGCCUGAACCAGCCAAGUCGCGUGAAGGAUGACUGUCUUAUGGAUUGUAAACUUCUUUUGUAGGGGAAUAAAGAGGGGCACGUGUGCCCCAGUGAAUGUACCCUACGAAUAAGCAUCGGCUAACUCCGUG
rnacentral:rRNA from 1 species